rnacentral:sRNA from 1 species
UACUCGUACUUUCCUGUCGCGCAGGUAGC